CGACAGUGGCGGCGUGCUAUACAUGCAGUCGAGCGCGGGAAGCCGGCGGACUCCUUCGGGAGGAAACCGGUGGAACGAGCGGCGGACGGGUGAGUAACACGUGGGCAACCUGCCGGACUGAUGGGAAUAACCCCGGGAAACCGGGGCUAAUGCCCAAUACGCCCUGACCUCGCCUGAGGUCAGCGGCAAAGCAGGGAUCUUCGGAUCCUUGCACAGUCCGAUGGGCCCGCGGCGCAUUAGCUAGUUGGAGAGGUAAGGGCUCCCCAAGGCGACGAUGCGUAGCCGACCUGAGAGGGUGAUCGGCCACACUGGGACUGAGACACGGCCCAGACUCCUACGGGAGGCAGCAGUAGGGAAUCAUCCGCAAUGGGCGAAAGCCUGACGGUGCAACGCCGCGUGAGUGAUGAAGGUUUUCGGAUCGUAAAGCUCUGUUGACAGGGAAGAACCCACGCCAGUCGAACAGGCUGGCGUGCUGACGGUACCUGUCCAGAAAGCCCCGGCUAACUACGUGCCAGCAGCCGCGGUAAUACGUAGGGGGCAAGCGUUGUCCGGAAUUAUUGGGCGUAAAGGGCACGCAGGCGGUUUCGUCAGUCCGAUGUGACAGGCCACGGCUCAACCGUGGAAGGCCAUUGGAAACUGCGAAACUUGAGGACAGAAGAGGAGAGUGGAAUUCCACGUGUAGCGGUGAAAUGCGUAGAUAUGUGGAGGAACACCAGUGGCGAAGGCGACUCUCUGGUCUGUACCUGACGCUGAGGUGCGAAAGCAUGGGGAGCAAACAGGAUUAGAUACCCUGGUAGUCCAUGCCGUAAACGCUGAGUGCUAGGUGUUAGGGGUUUCGAUACCCGUAGUGCCGAAGCUAACGCAUUAAGCACUCCGCCUGGGGAGUACGACCGCAAGGUUGAAACUCAAAGGAAUUGACGGGGCCCGCACAAGCGGUGGAGCAUGUGGUUUAAUUCGACGCAACGCGAAGAACCUUACCAGAUCUUGACAUCUUCCGCUACGCCUCGAGAGAGGCGGUUCCCCUUUCGGGGGACGGAAUGACAGUGGUGCAUGGUUGUCGUCAGCUCGUGUCGUGAGAUGUUGGUUAAGUCCCGCACGAGCGCAACCCCUUAAUCUUAGUGCAGCAUUCAGUGGGCACUCUAGUGACUGCGUGACAACCGAAGAAGGUGGGAUGACGUCAAUCAUCAUGCCCUAUGAUUGGGCUUACCACCGCUACAAUGGAUUGUUACACUGGACCGCGAACCCUCUUAAGGGGGA
rnacentral:rRNA from 1 species